UACUGCACUAGGCUUCAUUAAGGAAGAUUUCAACUUUUCAAGAGCAACUAAAUUUCGGGCAUGGUUAAUUGUAGAACUGGAUACAAAGAAGUCAAAACUCUGUAGUGAUUCUCUGCAAUCUGCACUCUGUACUGGUAGACACAAAGGGUUGGUCCAGCUCAAAAUUCAGCUAAUUUUGGAGUUAGAUCUUUAAAUUCCUUUUCUAGCAAAUUUUUGGAUUGCAAGAGAUGGUCCUGAACAUCCGACCAAGGAGCUUUUGUUCUACUUGGUCAUUUCUCCGCGGAUGAAAGUUCUUGAGAACCCCAUGAAAGUGAUGCUGUACAGAAUGCAACGAAUCAGACUCGGAGUGAAUACGUUCGACUUCUCCGUGCUUUUGUUUGUUCAAGAACCGGACAAGUGAAAACAAAGAAAGAAAAAGGCAAUCAAAUUGACGAAAGAAUCGAUUGCAUUUUUUCCCUUCACUGUAUUCAACAGUAAAAAAAUAUGAAGGCUCUUAUCUGUUUCAGAACAAAGUAGUAAUCCAGCUAUACGAAGUGAAAAUGCAAUCUGGAAUACUACAAGACUCGUCGCAUGCCCUUUCUGGCGCCAUAUCACCUUAUCCUAGUCUUGAGCACAUAAAAUUAUUGCUCCUCCUGUUCCCCUGUUUCUUCCCCCCGAGACUGCUUAAAGCCUCAAACUUGCCUUUAUCCUCCCAAAACCUCCGGCUACGAGCCUUCUUCACAACGUUCGAGUUUUGAGGUGGCGAAUUGGUGACUACCGCACGUCCCUGCUUAAUUAAAAAAUUCACUCAACAACAUGUAUCUGUUCAGUCUUUUUCAAUAACUAGUAGCUAUAGAUAAAAGCUUCGGCAGAAAGUGGAAUAAUACAGAAAAAUGGCUUCUAGAGUUCAAAAUCCCAUACAAAAUAGGCUGUGGUUGCUAUCAUUCUCAACUUCAUCGACUUCUUCUUUGUGCAAUUCCGUAAGUUUAAAGAAGACCCGUUUCACAAAUAGGUCCCUUUUCGGCAAGAGAAUGCCGUGGUCUUCUUCAAGACGAAAUCUUUACUGUACUUGCAGUACCAGCAGAGGCAGCACUAUGGAUUCUAAUACUAGUCCCAGUAGUGGCAGGCAAAAUGCUGAGCCUUUUGUCAUCACAACUCCGCUUUAUUAUGUGAAUGCCCCGCCUCACAUGGGCAGCGCCUAUACUACCGUUGCUGCUGACGCCAUUGCUCGUUUUCAG
rnacentral:lncRNA from 1 species